rnacentral:rRNA from 1 species
UACGUAGGGGGCAAGCGUUGUCCGGAAUCAUUGGGCGUAAAGCGCGCGUAGGCGGUUACGCAAGUCGGUUGUGAAAAUCCGGGGCUCAACCCCGGGACUGCGUCCGAUACUUCCGAGCUGGAGGUAGGUAGGGGAGAUCGGAAUUCCUGGUGUAGCGGUGAAAUGACGCAGAUAUCAGGAGGAACACCGGUGGCGAAGGCGGAUCUCUGGGACGGUACUGACGCUGAGACGCGAAAGCGUGGGGAGCGAACAGG